AAACGCAGCCAUAUACUGUGUAAAACUGUAAGCAUUGGUGUUGGUCACGAAAGUGAAACCGCCAAUUGUAAUUUCGAACCCAAAAGUGUCGGUUCAUAAUUACAUAAUCCAGGUGUCACCUUGAACAAGACUUGACCAGACAAGGGACCCUCGUACUGCCGUUGAUCACGUUGAAGCCCUCUCUCCUGCCUGCCUGCCUUGUGGCGCACUUUAGCAUCUUCUGCGCUUCAAAACCGACUGUGCACACUCCCUUUAAGUUCCCACUUAAAAAACUUAAACCCUCUGCUAAGCAUAUCUAUCUACACACCUGCAGAGAGACCAGAAUAGAAGCUUAAAGAAACUUCAUCCAUCCAUCCAUCCAUCCAUGGCCGCCAAACGACCCCGUUGAGAACCCAAUCUCAGCCACACACAGCUAUAAUGCUCUCGCCUGAGCUCCCUCCAAUGUCGAAACCCUCUCCCAGAACCAAGCCCUCUUCUUGGCUCGCCGAUAGCUUGCUCUUCUUCAGCGGUGCAUUUCUCGCUCUCCUCGUCCUCUUCACUUUUUACUCCUUCGUAAGCACUUAUUCAUCCCCCAAUUUCGGCCGUACGGUCACUUCUCCGCCGCCCACCGCCGAACCCGAUCAAUGCGCCGACGAUGCUAACCUACGCCGCGACCCGCCGGACCCUACCUUUUACGACGACCGGGAAGUCCGGUACACGCUCGGGGACCCGGUUCAGAACUGGGACGAGAAGCGGCAGCAGUGGCUGCUGCUUCACCCCUCGCUCGCCGCCGGAGCAGGGGAGAGGAUUCUGAUGGUGACGGGAUCUCAGCCGGCCGCGUGUCGCAAUCCUAUCGGCGAUCAUCUCCUCUUGCGGUUCUUCAAGAACAAGGUGGACUACUGUAGACUCCACGGGCACGAAAUCUUCUACAACAACGCACUGCUGCACCCGCGGAUGGGCAGCUACUGGGCCAAGCUGCCCGUAAUCCGGGCCGCCGUGGUGGCCCACCCGGAGGCCGAGUGGAUCUGGUGGGUUGACUCGGAUGCGUUGUUCACCGACAUGGAGUUCAAGCUCCCUUUGGACCGGUACAAGAACCACAACCUCGUCGUCCACGGCUGGGCCCACCUGGUCGUGGAGACGCACAGUUGGACGGGGCUCAACGCCGGCGUGUUCUUGAUCAGGAACUGCCAGUGGACCAUGGAUUUUCUCGAGGUGUGGGCCAGCAUGGGCCCACAGACCCCGGACUACGAGAAAUGGGGAGAAACCCUCCGGUCAACGUUCAAGGACAAGGCGUUCCCGGAGUCAGACGAUCAGACGGGCCUCGCUUACUUGAUCUACAAGGAGAAGGAAAAGUGGGGGAAGAAGAUUUAUCUGGAAAGCGAGUAUUAUUUCGAAGGGUACUGGGCGGAGAUCGUCGGGACGCUUGACAAGAUUGAGGACCGGUACGCGGAGAUAGAGAGAGGGGAGGAGGACAAUGCGGUGCGUCUAAGGAGGCGGCACGCGGAGAAGGUGAGCGAGCAAUACGGUGCGUUUAGGGAGGAGUAUUUGAGUGAGGCGGGGUACGGGAGAGGGAGCUGGAGGCGACCGUUCAUCACGCACUUCACCGGAUGCCAGCCGUGCAGUGGGAGGCACAACGAGAUGUACACGGGGAAUACGUGUUGGGAUGGGAUGGAGAAAGCGUUGAAUUUCGCUGAGAAUCAGGUGCUUCGCAAAUACGGUUACGUGCACCCGAGCACACUGGAUCGUGCGGUCUCUCCCGUGCCGUUUGAUUACCCGUCCGAGUAAGAUUAGCCCAUCAAUUCAAGUCAUCAUAGGGUCACUUUGAAAAAGAAAGUUGAGAAGUUGGAGCUUCACACAUAAAAGGAACUCUGGCUCUUCAUGGUAUAUGCGCUAUGCGAAGCUUCCGAUAAUUCCUGGACUACUGUCACUUUUCGGUAGCAGGUAGCAGAUAAUUCCCGGACCAGUAUCAUUUCCGGUCACGUACCGACAUGUUAUGUAUGAGGCUAGUCUAGCAAUAUGCAGACAUUUUCAUUCUCCAGUUUAUAUUUAGAAUUCACUUCUACAUUUUCCCUUUCUGGUUCUUCGUGCAUGAUUAUUUACAUGUAUUCGGGAUGUGUAGAGAAGUAUCGAGUGCAUCUCCCGCUUAAAUUUUCAGUAAUUCUUGUAAAUCCAAAUGUUACUAUGUACUUUUCUCAACAACAACAAAAAAAAGUUACUAUGUACUUAGCCUAGAAUGUAAUAAAUUGGGUUGAGAAACAUUGGAAGCUCAACCCUUUAUAGAACCGAGCUUAAGCA